AUUGAACGCUGGCGGCAGGCUUAACACAUGCAAGUCGAACGGUAGCAGGAGAAAGCCUGCUUUCUUGCUGACGCGAGGCGGACGGGUGAGUAAUGUUUGGGAAUCUGUCCUAUGGAGGGGGAUAACUACGGGGAAAUGUUGCUCAUAUCGCGUAAUAUCUCUGGAUUAAAGAAUGGGACUUUUUGCCAUUCGCCAUAAGAUGAGCACAUGUGGGAUUAGGUAGUUGGUGGGGUAAAGGCCUACCAAGCCGACGAUCACUAGCUGGUCUGAGAGGAUGACCAGCCACACUGGAACUGAGACACGGUCCAGACUCCUACGGGAGGCAGCAGUGGGGAAUAUUGGACAAUGGGGGCAACCCUGACGCAGCCAUGCCGCGUGAAUGAAGAAGGCCUUCGGGUUGUAAAGUUCUUUCGGUGGGGAGGAAAAGUAAUAUGUUAAUAGCAUAUUAGAUUGACGUUAGCCACAGAAUAAGCACCGGCUAACUCCGUG
rnacentral:rRNA from 1 species